UUUCAAAGUCGUGUUCAAACGGACUUGAUUAGAAAGUCCGGAUCUUUUUUAAAACGGGGGCCACAUUUUUCAUUAAUGUUUUACGUAGUGUUUUUGGUACCGAAAGACUUUCAAACUUCGUAUACUUAUCUAUUUUGUGUUAUAGAACAGAAAAAUAUUUUUGUAUUCGAAUUUAUUUCAUGUAAAAAAUUGUCUUAUUUCGAUAAUUUCAACCAAUCACUGACGUCCACUCAGCCGAUAUACAUUAAGUGCCGACUACAUAAACAAACGAUUCUUCGUUUUAUUUGCUUUUUUCAUUUUAAAUUUGCUUUAACCCUAAGCCUAACCCUAACCCUAACUCUAACCCUAGGGUUAGGGUUAGGGUUAAUUGUUUCAGAAUCGUUUGUUUAUGUAGUCGGCACUUAAUGUAUAUCGGCUGAAUGGACGUCAGUGAUUGGUUGAAAUUACAGAAAUACGACAACUUUAACAUGGAAUAAUUUAUGGAUUUCUUUUUUUUUUAAGAAGACUAAGAGAAAAAGAUGUUUUAUAUGACACAUUCUACCAGUGUUCCAAGUUUCAAAGUGUUUCGUUAAUGGAAAAUGUGGCCCCCGUUUUAAAAAAGAUCCGAAAGUCCUUCUAGGCGUGUGCAAGGCAUUCUAUUUAUUUAUCUAUAUAUAUUCAGAUAUUCUCUGUUGUGAAAACAGAAGGGUGUUACUUCAUAAAGUUUCGGCUGUUAACUGUAGCAGUCGUAUAGUGACCAACCACCGACGUUUCCUUCUUCGUUUUGUCUUUUCGUUUUUCUUGUAUAUCAUACUGAAUUUAUAAUGUUGUUGCACCACAGCUGCCACUUCAGGUGUUGACAGUUUAUUUAAAUCUUUAAUCACAUACCUAGCUCUAUCGGGUAUAAGUGCAUUAUUUGUUCAGAGGUUGCUAUUAUUUUUGAUAAAUUUAGGACAAGGCUGCCUCCCAUUCAUGUAUGAUUCACUUUCUACUAUAUUCAUAAUUUGUGUUUUUAUUUUCUGAAUUCUGUCUGCCUGCCUGUAGCAUCGAUUUACAUUUGUGUAUGGGACUAGAUAUGUAUACGAGGGUGGGAUAGAAGUUCAUAGAUUGACGAUGAAGGGAGUGAUUCAUGAGCUGUGAAAUCUGGCAGUGAGCUAUCUGCUUCUCGCUGGUAUUUGAGAUGUUUGGAAGGACUGGGCCACCAACCAUGUAGUUCUUGUCAUCAUUGGCUGUUUGCCUCACCCAAGUGUCAGGUGAUGCCCAUGAAGGCGCUUGGUUUUCCCAAUGCCUUAGCCUCGCCAUCGGCGGCUUCCUUCAAUAGAUUCCAUCGGACCUUGUGGUGUGCGACCAAUUGAAGCACUUGGUGCUGCAUUAAUAUUUUUUUUUUUUACCUCUUUUGUAAAAUCUGUUAGAAAAAAAAAUUAAUAAUCCUUCAGUAUGUGGUGAUUAAAAGAGAAAAUAACAACUAGGAACUAUUCGAAGCUUAUUGACGGCAUGUACACUCUCACGAAGUGAUUGUACAUCAGGAGAACUUUAUAGACCCGACAACUAAGGACGUCCAUACAUAAAGAAAUAAAUAGUACAGGGGUUCUUAACCUGAGGGUUGUGACCCGUGGUGGUGGAGCGUUUGGGGUCUCUCGGAGGAUUUGGGAGAAAGUAAUUUAUUUGAUGUAUUUGAGGUAUUGCAUUGCAGCAUUCAAGUGUAAGAUUCAACUCUACCAGAAAAUAGUUCAGGACGGUGCCACAACCGUCUUCCUUCAGAUGACAACUAUCCUGGAUUCUAUGCCAGAAGCUGAAUGCAGUUUCCGUGAAGAGAUCUCAACUCAUCUUCUGGCAGUGAAUGAUGCCAUUGAAAGUUACUUCUCAUGAUUGGAUGACUGCUGUACUGAUGCGUGGACCUGCAGACCCUUCUCAGUGAAAGACAGUGGUACCAAUGAUACUGAUGUUGCUGCGAUGGUAGAAUUGUUUUUCAAAUUCGCGAGGGUACUCAGUUGAAAGUUGAUUUUUCUGAACAACAGCACCCAACAUUUUGGGCGAAACUGAAGGACACCUAUCCUCUUCUUUUGAUGCGUGAACUGACCAUGCUGAUUCAGUCCCCCCUCCCCCUCGAAUUAUCGCUGCGGGGCUGGAUUCUCAGCAAUGAUGACCCUAGUAGUGAAAUGCAGAAUUAGGUCGGCUGAUUGUGAGCAUCGAAUAUUGAUCACUUCGCUAAAAUCUGCAGGUGGUAUGAGUUAUUUCUCUUGGGUUGUUUAAAUAAAAUAAUAAUAUGCAGUAGAUGGAUCUAUUGGAAGGGCUCUAUCGUCGAUUUUUUCCAACAAUCUAAGUAUGUCACGAGGUUUCCAGACUUGGGUGCUACUCACGUGUCAAAUAAAGUAUAAAAGUGAUAUUGUCUGCAAAAAUUAGAAAUAGGACACACGAAAAAUCAAUAUUCAAAGUAAUCGAGCAUAAACAAUGUAAUGGGUUAUUUCCCUUGAGUGUUUUAGAAAAAAAAACUAUACAGGUGCUAUGGGUUAUUUCCCUUGGGUGUUAAAAAAUCAGUUAUUUGAGGUAGAUAUUAAGGUCACUUCCAGAGGCCGUAUUGACGAUUUUUUUCAACAAUCUAAAUAUGUCACGAGGUUUCCAGACAUGAGUUCUACUCACGUGUCAAGUUUCAUAAAAAUCAAUAAAACGAUGUAGGAGGAGUUAGCUAACAACGCCACAAACAAACACCGAUUUUCCACAUGCAUACUCUCUAACCAACUUGUUACAAAAUGGAUAUCAUUUAUAAUUGUUUUCAAACAGUUAAUUUAAUGUUUUUGAUAUGGAACAUGAAGUAGUUGUAUUUUAAGAAAUGUGUUUCAAUUAAAUUUUACUGGUAUAAAACAACGUUUGUAAUAUUGAAAAAAAAAAAACCCCCAAUUAUCUUGUAUCAGACAGUCUAGUGUAAUCGAGAGUAUGGCAAAAUGGUGACUGAAGAAGAUGGAAUUUCGCCUCAGUCGUGUGUAAAAGCUUCUGAAGAUCAAUUUAGUGGCUUUGAAAGUAAAGUAGUGACCACUGAUACUUUAGCAGGUGAAGAUUCUGGAGCUAAUUCGGUAACCACUUAGCGAAAAAAGAAGAAAAAUGAUUCUCAUGAAUCCCAGCCCCAAAGAAAAAAAAAAUUAAUAAUAAGAUAACCAGACUUACCGUUUCUUCAAAUAAGAAAGAAUACUUCCAGCACCUUCGUGUAAGAACAGCGUAGAGAGAUAAUCUAAAGGCUUGGACCUGUAAAUGGAGAGGUUGGAAGUGAGUGGAAUAACAUGGAGUAAAGGGUGGAGCAGAUCAAAGAGACAAAUGGGGACAGGUGAAAAAUUUGAAGCCAAUGGUGAUUUUAUUGAAUAAAUUUACUCUUUAGUAUUUCAAGAUAUUUUUAUGUAAUUUUGGUAAAUAUAUCUGUUAAAAUGA